rnacentral:tRNA from 1 species
GGGGAUAUAACUCAGUGGUAGAGUGCUUGCCUAGUAUGCAUGAAGUCCUGGGUUCAAUCCUCAGUACCACCA